rnacentral:rRNA from 1 species
UACGGAGGGAGCUAGCGUUGUUCGGAAUUACUGGGCGUAAAGCGCGCGUAGGCGGCUAUUCAAGUCAGAGGUGAAAGCCCGGGGCUCAACUCCGGAACUGCCUUUGAAACUAGAUAGCUAGAAUCCAGGAGAGGUGAGUGGAAUUCCGAGUGUAGAGGUGAAAUUCGUAGAUAUUCGGAAGAACACCAGUGGCGAAGGCGACUCACUGGACUGGUAUUGACGCUGAGGUGCGAAAGCGUGGGGAGCAAACAGGAUUAGAUACCCGCGUA